rnacentral:rRNA from 1 species
ACGGGAGGCAGCAGUGGGGAAUAUUGGGCAAUGGGCGAAAGCCUGACCCGGCAACGCCGCGUGAAGGAAGGAGGCCUUCGGGUUGUAAACUUCUUUUAUCAGGGACGAAGGAAGUGACGGUACCUGAUGAAUAAGCCACGGCUAACUACGUGCCAGCAGCCGCGGUAAUACGUAGGUGGCAAGCGUUAUCCGGAUUUACUGGGUGUAAAGGGCGCGUAGGCGGGGACGCAAGUCAGAUGUGAAAUCUAUGGGCUUAACCCAUAAACUGCAUUUGAAACUGUGUCUCUUGAGUGUCGGAGAGGUAGAUGGAAUUCCUAGUGUAGCGGUGAAAUGCGUAGAUAUUAGGAGGAACACCAGUGGCGAAGGCGGCUUACUGGACUGUAACUGACGUUGAGGCUCGAAGGCGUGGGGAGCAAACAGGAUUAGAUACCCUGGUA